GGGCAGGAGCUCAGAGUAGAAAUGACCACAUUGACCACUGAACCUGAAGGGGUCUUAGCAGCCUCACAAAGUCACCUGAACUGCCUUGUUGGGGGAGGAGUUGCAGAAUGACUUCACUAGAUAGAGACACAGAACAAGCCAUGCAGCAUCCCUGAAGGGACCACAAGGCUGAGAUGAGGGAUGUGUCUUCAACAAGCAGGUGCCUGAUGGGAUCUGAUCUUAAUCGUCAUUGGUGUGUCCAGAUGCCAUCAAGGGUCAGACUGUUCCCCUCCCUCCAAAGGUGCCUCUCCCCUUCCUGGGCUUAGGUACAACCCUAAAGAACUGCAAGCUCACUGAGACAAAGUUUCUGCCACUCCAGCAGAAUGGAGGAUUUACAUAGAAAAAUAACAACAGCCCUAGCACAUUUCUUACACAUGGAGUCACUGAGAUUUGUUACCAGGAGAUUGAAAAAUAAUCAAAAUAAUCAUCCAGCAGAAGUGUGUCUAGGGAAAUGCAGUAAAAUGUCACAGUGAGCCCAGUCACUCAGGAACUUCUUGGAGGUUAGAUGUACUGAGAGUCCUAAGUAAACAUGUAAAUCUGUGGCUUAUUUGGCAUAAAUCUUUACAUUAUUUUACAAAAUUUUCCCUUUAUGCUUUUACACAGACCCUCCACAUUCUGGGCCAACACGUCCAACCUCAUCUUCUAUCCCUUCCUGCCAUCUGGCUCGAUGCCUGACAUCCAACAGAAACUAUCCUUGCGUUUGGACGUCACCGUUCGCGAUCUUGGAGGUAUUCGUUCCAGCUCUCGCCCCCGCUCCAGCCGGAGCCUUCAGCUAAAGGAACCGUGACAGCCAACGCUUACGGCUUCGAGAAUUUCCCGUAGUGACAGUUGCGUGCAGUGCUUGUGUUCACCUUCAAACCAUUGCAGUGUUUCACCAGAGGAGGGUGUGUGAAUGAUUCCUGACACGUUUUUAAAGUGCUUAACUGACUUGUUAAGACGCUGUUGCCAAAAUGUUCAUGUGCCCAAGUGUGAACGUGCACGUGCAAGUGAACAGGGCAGCAGUGAACCAG
rnacentral:lncRNA from 1 species